CUCUCUCAAAAGUUUAUUGAGCUUUUCUUCUUUCCAGCCUGAGCUCGGAUCUCGGAUCUCGGAAUCGCUUCAUACUUCACUUGUCUAAUCCACCGAUCGACGCUCUCAAAAUUAUUUCUCUAGUGAAGCCUGGGCAGCCUGUAACGACUACUGGGCUAGUUCAUAAUGAAGAAAGGCAUGGUGAUAUUUAAGUCUAAUCCUUUUCUACUUUUAGUUGAUUAAACUCAUCACUGGUUGUGCGGUUCAUCAGAUAUGUUGAAUUUAUGCCAGCAUCAGUCAUUUAGCUUACUGAGCACUGGAUGGGAUAAUCAUGCCCAUAUAAAUAAUAACAGGGCUGACAUGGAAGUCCUUAUCCACAUCAUGAAGAAUAAUUUCAGCCUUUUUUA